CUUCCUGUUCCUAUGCCAGACAGUCCAGUUUCACCCUGUAUGUGUCCGGGUCCCCCAGAGUCUUGCCCGGAACUGGAGUUCAGAGCAAGAGGGAGCUUGUAUCUUCCUCCUGAUUAAAAAAGCAGUGCACCUGGGUGCCAGCCCAUUCCUCGUCUCCACCUCAGUGCCUCCUACUAGUCUUAAUGCGCUUUCUUCACCUGUCUGGUUGUAGUACUUCCACUCAACCAGAUUUCCUGUGGUUCUGGACGAUAGUUGUUCUGUCUUUUAGUUGUAAUUUUGAUGUUGUUGUGAGAGGCAGCAAGUACAGUUGUUUACUGAUGCUGCCUUCUUGGUUCUCCAAUCUAGGCAGCACUUUUUGCACUUUGCUUAGCUUUGUAGAUUGCCCUUUCAUCAUGCAGAAAUAGGAACUCCUUUCUUUUCGGUAACAAGUUGUAGCUGUAUUAUUUAGGUCAGUGGAUGAACACCAUCAUUUACUGUCAUAUCUGUUACUUUCAUUUUCCUGUGAUUGGGUGAGUAUAAAUCUGUCUUUACAAAGACUAAUAUUUAACUUCACAUGAUCAUUUAGCUGAAGAGUCGCUAUUUUUUUUUUAAUAAGGCAAUGAGUGAAAUCUAUUUUUAAAAAGUAUUUAAAAACAUCAGCAAGUAAUAUAAAGAACAGGGCCUUUCAAAUCUCAAACCAGAUAUAAAAACUAACAUUUUAAGUGUUUUUGUCUCCCUAAAAAUUGCUGAGUUGGAAGUCCUCAGUAUAAAAGUAAUCCUUUUCAGAAGAAUGAGUAAAGUGAUGAAAUGGAAGUUGAUGAAACAGAUGAAUUUUAAAAAGACCCUUUGCAAGCCUCCCUGCUGGUUCCAUUUUAUAAUAUCCAAGAUGCCGUGACUGAGAAUGGGCUACCCUUGCUUUCGGAGUUUAUUUGUGGCCUGUGAGAAGCCAAUGGUGACUUCAGGGUGGAAAUAAUAUCUGAUACUAAAGUUGCUGUUGUCACUUUUCUCAAAAAUACUGAUGGCUGGACAUUUGUUAAUGUUUGUGACAGACACCAUAGAGCUCAGCAACUUCAGAUUUUCCCAAGACUUAUGGAAUGUGCAAGACCCAUUAAGGGUUGAAAAUCUGCCACCUUGUGUUGAUAAUAAUUACAUAACAACUUUCUUUGAUAACCAAUCCUCCAAAUGGAGAAAGAGCGACCAAUGUUCAAUAUUUACCAGAGGAGAGUUCAGCCUUGGUUGAGUUUUCUGACUACAAAGUGGUCGACCCCUACUUGAUCAAAAAGCUUUUCUUCAAAGAGAGGCCCAUUGUCUGUGUUUCUCUGUUAUGAGUCUUGGGACACAAUCUUACUUGGAAGGAAAGAACCAUUCAGAAAGCUGCCAGCACCAUUCCUGGUGGCUCUGGAUCCUUUCAUAAGGAUGAAGCUUGCAGAGAAAGUGUCACCUGAUUGGAAUGAAAAUUAUAAAAGGGGAAGGGGCCGCUGUGAGGUAACAUGGCCCCAAGUCAGCUGAAUAAGACUGGAGGUAGCACAC